GACCGUACGCGCAGCUGGCUGCGAGUAUGGUUAGUGGCAGACGGGUGAGUAAUGCAUAGGAAUCUGCCUAGUAGUAUAGGAUAGCCACUAGAAAUGGUGGGUAAUACUGUAUAAUCCCUGCGGGGGAAAGAUUUAUCGCUAUUAGAUGAGCCUAUGUCAGAUUAGCUAGUUGGUGGGGUAAUGGCCCACCAAGGCUGUGAUCUGUAGCUGGUCUGAGAGGAUGAUCAGCCACACUGGAACUGAGACACGGUCCAGACUCCUACGGGAGGCAGCAGUGGGGAAUAUUGGACAAUGGGCGCAAGCCUGAUCCAGCUAUGCCGCGUGAGUGAGGAAGGCCUUAGGGUUGUAAAACUCUUUCAGUAGGGAAGAUAAUGACGGUACCUACAGAAGAAGUCCCGGCAAACUCCGUGCCAGCAGCCGCGGUAAUACGGAGGGGGCAAGCGUUGUUCGGAAUUAUUGGGCGUAAAGGGCAUGUAGGCGGUUUGGUAAGUUAAAGGUGAAAUACCAGGGCUUAACCCUGGGGCUGCUUUUAAUACUGCAGGACUAGAGUCCGGAAGAGGAUAGCGGAAUUCCUAGUGUAGAGGUGAAAUUCGUAGAUAUUAGGAGGAACACCAGUGGCGAAGGCGGCUGUCUGGUCCGGUACUGACGCUGAGGUGCGAAAAGCGUGGGGGAGCAAAACAGGAU
rnacentral:rRNA from 1 species